rnacentral:rRNA from 1 species
AUACGUAGGGGGCGAGCGUUGUCCGGAUUUACUGGGCGUAAAGGGUGAGUAGGCGGUUAUAUAUGUCAGGUGUAAAAAGCUAUGGCUUAACCCUAGUAAGCACUUUAAACUGUAUGACUUGAGUGCAGGAGAGGUAAGCGGAAUUCCUAGUGUAGCGGUGCAAUGCGUAGAUAUUAGGAGGAACACCGGUGGCAAAGGCGGCUUACUGGACUGUAACUGACGCUGAGUCACGAAAGCGUGGGUAGCAAACAGGAUUAGAUACCCUGGUAGUCCACGCCGUAAACGAUGAGUGCUAGGUGUUGGGCAGCAAUGCUCAGUGCCGAAGUAAACACAAUAAGCCAUCCACCUGGGGAGUACGACCGCAAGGUUGAAACUCAAAGGAAUUGGCGGGG